rnacentral:rRNA from 1 species
CGCGUAUACGGAGGGUGCGAGCGUUAAUCGGAAUAACUGGGCGUAAAGGGCACGCAGGCGGCUAUUUAAGUGAGGUGUGAAAUCCCCGGGCUUAACCUGGGAAUUGCAUUUCAGACUGGGUAGCUAGAGUACUUUAGGGAGGGGUAGAAUUCCACGUGUAGCGGUGAAAUGCGUAGAGAUGUGGAGGAAUACCGAAGGCGAAGGCAGCCCCUUGGGAAUGUACUGACGCUCAUGUGCGAAAGCGUGGGGAGCAAACAGGAUUAGAUACCCUGGUAGUCCACGCUGUAAACGCUGUCGAUUUGGGGAUUGGGCUUUAAGCUUGGUGCCCGUAGCUAACGUGAUAAAUCGACCGCCUGGGGAGUACGGCCGCAAGGUUAAAACUCAAAUGAAUUGACGGGGGCCCGCACAAGCGGUGGAGCAUGUGGUUUAAUUCGAUGCAACGCGAAGAACCUUACCUACUCUUGACAUCCAUGGAAUCUUGUAGAGAUACGGGAGUGCCUUCGGGAACCAUGAGACAGGUGCUGCAUGGCUGUCGUCAGCUCGUGUUGUGAAAUGUUGGGUUAAGUCCCGCAACGAGCGCAACCCUUAUCCUUUGUUGCCAGCGAUUCGGUCGGGAACUCAAAGGAGACUGCCGGUGAUAAACCGGAGGAAGGUGGGGAUGACGUCAAGUCAUCGGA